rnacentral:lncRNA from 1 species
UUUUUUUUUUUUUUUUCCUGACAAGAACAAUGGCCCAAACUGUGAUAUUCUUAAGAGGAAAGUGAACAAUCCCACUAUUCCCCGCUCCUGGAUGUAGAAAGGGAUGCAGGGGGAGGUACAGUAUCCUCUUGAUUCCUUCUCUUAUAGCUCACAUGAUUGGAGAAGUCCUUAUUAAACAUCUAGUAUGUGCCAAGCAUCUUUCUAGGUGCUGCAGAGAUAGCAUUCAAUUAAGAACUCCAAGUGUCUGCUCUCAGGAGUAGAGAAAAUCAACACAUCAAUAUUUUCUUGUUCAUUUAUGCACUUGCUUAAUUUUUGGUAAACCCCUGCUCUCUAGUUUUAUGUCCAGUGUUAUAUUUAUGCACAAGGAGUGUGACACUGCCAACAUUCGUAAGUGUUUGGAAGACAGGAAGAAAUCUACUCGCUUUUCUCUCUGGGGCAGUCAUCAAUUCCUAGGUGAUCACGAUCAGCAUCCUGGAAACAAUGAAUGAAAUACCAUUGACUCAAAAUCCCAUGUGCCAUUCAGUCACCCUACUAUGAUGGACUGCUUUUCAUGUGGAAAGUGAAUAAGCCUCAUGUUGUGUAGCUGAUCUUUCUAGAUGAUACAUAGAAAAAGUAAUAUAAAUCACUCUUUUCUUCUUCCAAAAGCAAAUGUAAUCAGCGUACCACCCUUCCCACUAUGGAUUGUAACAAUAUAUUUUGAAUAAAACUAGCGUUUGAAAAUGUACCAAAUGCAAUAGCACAAACGUGCUAGGAAUGGUUUUUAAUUUACAUUAUGAUUUUCUUCAGAACUGCUGCUUGGUUUCUGUAGCUUACCAAAGGAUCUGUCCCUAGUUGUAUGAUCACAUUAUUUGUGUCACUCUUUUAGUAGCUGUCAAAAUUAAUGAGUGUCUAUGAUUUCUAAUGGUUCAAAAAUGUCAUUUUGGAAGAUGGACUCUUGUUUACUUCUGGAGGAAGAAUUAAGAAGACAGCAUGAGGGAAGAGAGGACCAUAGGAAAUACAAUGAUUUUCUUAAGAUUGAAAUGAAAAUGUGUCUUUCUGAGGCUUAUAAGCAGAAAAAGAUACAGGCUUUGUGGAGUCAGAAAAAAAACUGGCUUGAUUCCUACUACACACUAGUUGUAUGAUUUUAUUUAUCUUAUUUUUUAAAAAUAUUUUAUUUAUUUAUUCAUGAGACACACAGAGAGAAAGGCAGAGACACAGGCAGAGAGAGGAGAAGCAGGCUCCAUGCAGGUAGCCCGACAUGGGACUCGAUCCCGGGACUCCAGGAUCACACCCUGGGCCAAAGGCAGAUGCUCAACCACUAAGCCACCCAGGCAUCCCUAUUUAUCUUAUUUUUAAAAAAGAUUUUAUUUAUUCAUUCAUGAGAGACACACAGAGAGAGGCAGAGACACAGGCAGAGGGAGAAGCAGGCUUCCUGCGAGGAGCUCGAUGCCGGACUCAAUCCCAGCACCGUGGGGUCACGACCUGACCUGAGCCAAAGCCAGACACUCAAUCACUGAGCCACCCAGGUGCUCCGAGUUGUAUGAUUUUAAACAUAGAUAAAACUGUCUAAGAUCAAUCUUCCCAUCAAUAAAAUGGGAGCAUUAUACUUAUAGAGCUGUUGUGAGGAUAAAAUGGAACAAUACCUCUGAAUGUCUUAAUAUAAGGUCUUGGCACAUCUGUGAGUACUCUACAAGUGGCUGCUGUUUUAUAUUAUUACUAUCAUUGCAAUUUUAUCUUAUUGUUACAUGUCAUGAAGCCAGAUGGAGAAUCUUGCUUGAUCUUGACCAUGAGUAGCAAGGAGAAGAAAAGGAGUGAAUAAUAAUAAUAAUAAUAAUAAUAAUAAUAAAGUUUUGUUUUCCAAAAAAAUUACAAUGAAAAAUAAAAGUCAGUAUUUUAUUUUAUUUCAUGAUGACUAACUACCUGGAAUAGGUAAAAAUAGAUUUUUUUUAAAGAAACAUAACCGAUUCCCAAUUUCCCAUAAUCAGGGAAUAAAUGUUAGUAUAAUGGAAUCAUAAGUACUCUUUAAAUUUUGUUUAAAUUUCUUAUUGUAGCAAACCCAAAGUGGAACCAAAAAAAUAAAUAAAAUCUAGUCAUUUAUGUAUGUAUCUUCUGGUGCAAAACAGGCUAAAAUCUGAAGAAUAGGAAAGAGGAGGGGAUGGUUAUGCUGAGUACCACCACUUUCAGUUCCAAAUUUGCAGUAAGUCGGCUUUUCAAUGUUGUCAUUUCUACCAGAUGUCCAUGAAAAGUGUGUGUGUGUUACACAAGGGACGGAAGAAAUGGUCAGUGGAUUUCUGGUUGGGUACCUUACACGAGCCUGGUGAAAUGUGCAGCCUCUGGAUACCCCCAUUUGAUGGGAACUGGGUGAUCCUUUUUGUUCUCCAUCGAGUCUCCAAGAGGAAGUUCACUGUUCACUACUUGUAAUCACCAGGACCCACUGGGAAAGGUGUUUACAAGGCUUUAAAGAUGACAAAGGGGAACUUGCAAGGAUUUUAUAGUCGGAACGGAAAAGCUCAUCCAUAAUGAAGGGAAAAGGGUGAUCAGAACAGAUAGUAAAUGUAGACCCGGCAAUAGAAGGGUUUUGAGGUUUUAAAAUGCUGUUUUGGUGAUGAUCAAAUUGAAAAGUCAGAAAGGAAACAAUGUGAAAGUAAGCAACUGUGUGUGAGAGAGUGUGUGUGUGUGUGUGUGUGUGU